UCUUCUCACUUAUCUUCCCUUUCUGCUUGUAUCUUUCCAUUCCAAAACUCCAGUCAUAGGCACCAUUCCAACACAUCUCUGUGAUGCCAAUAAGAUCACAGCCCUGCAGACAUGCACACAGUUCCAAACACUUCUUGCUGAUUUGCCAUGCAAUGCAUCGCCAUAGAGGUGUUCUCUUUCACAUCUUCUAUCCUAAAACAGCCUCUCAGGAAGCUCCGGGGCCAGAAACACCCACACAGAAUGCUCAGCUGUCAAUAGUGGAAGAGAAGGAAGAGUGUCAUUGCCUACACACUAUCUGAGAAUAAGGCCUGCAGAGAGUAGGGUGAGACACCCUGGCUGCAAUUCACAGGAAACUCAGUAGGAUAAUUAAACAUUAAUUUUCUUUUUUCAAUUUUUA